rnacentral:rRNA from 1 species
UAGUGAGUUUGAUCCUGGCUCAGGACGAACGCUGGCGGCGUGCCUAAUACAUGCAAGUCGAGCGCAGGAAGCUCACGGAACUCUUCGGAGGGAAGUGAAGGGAAUGAGCGGCGGACGGGUGAGUAACACGUAAGGAACCUGCCCCAAGGAUUGGGAUAACUCCGAGAAAUCGGAGCUAAUACCGAAUAGUUCUUCAGACCGCAUGGUCUGAUGAUGAAAGGCGCUUCGGCGUCACCUUGGGAUGGCCUUGCGGUGCAUUAGCUAGGUUGGU